rnacentral:rRNA from 1 species
GAAUAUUGGACAAUGGGAGCAAGCCUGAUCCAGCAAUACCGCGUGUGUGAAGAAGGCCUUCGGGUUGUAAAGCACUUUCAAUAGGGAGGAAGGCUUAAUGGUUAAUACCCAUUAAGAUUGACGUUACCUAUAGAAGAAGCACCGGCUAACUCCGUGCCAGCCGCCGCGGUAAUACGGAGGGUGCAAGCGUUAAUCGGAAUUACUGGGCGUAAAGCGCGCGUAGGCGGAUGAUUAAGUCAGAUGUGAAAGCCCCGGGCUCAACCUGGGGACUGCAUUUGAGACUGGUCGUCUAGAGUACAGAAGAGGGGGGUGGAAUUCCAGGUGUAGCGGUGAAAUGCGUAGAGAUCUGGAGGAACAUCAGUGGCGAAGGCGACCCCCUGGGCUGAUACUGACGCUGAGGUGCGAAAGCGUGGGUAGCGAACAGG